rnacentral:rRNA from 1 species
CCUACGGGACGCAGCAGUGAGGAAUAUUGGUCAAUGGGCGGAAGCCUGAACCAGCCAAGUCGCGUGAGGGAAUAAGGCCCUACGGGUCGUAAACCUCUUUUGUCGGGGAGCAAAGAGAGUCACGUGUGACUCAUUGAGAGUACCCGAAGAAAAAGCAUCGGCUAACUCCGUGCCAGCAGCCGCGGUAAUACGGAGGAUGCGAGCGUUAUCCGGAUUUAUUGGGUUUAAAGGGUGCGCAGGCGGAGGUGCAAGUCAGCGGUCAAAUUGCGGGGCUCAACCCCGUACUGCCGUUGAAACUGCAUCCC